UUCUAGGUGACGAGUUCCAAAUGGAACGAGACACGUGUCCUGGAU
rfam:Schistosoma mattheei strain Denwood, Zambia genome assembly, scaffold: SMTD_scaffold0000093